rnacentral:lncRNA from 10 species
UCUGACCAACUUCACCAACGUGAAAUCAUCGAAGCUCCACUGGUGGUUUCUCAGGUGAUGCGGACACUGUAGGUGAAGAUACAGGUUUGAUUCAGCUUCAAGAGGACGUGCUUGAUAAACUCAAGGAAAAUAAGAGAGGAUGAGCAGAGGUGGGACCUACCAAAGGGGAGUCAGUCACCGGUGUCUCAGGGUAUCCCUUGGGCAAAAUGCAGUGACUGCGUAAGAAGAGGAAAGGAGUGGGGCUUGAACACAAGGAAAGAAUCAAGGACUUUCCAAAAUUUCACUGCAAGUAGGCAUGAGCAC